GACGAACGCUGGCGGCGUGCCUAAUACAUGCAAGUUGAGCGCUGAAGGUUGGUACUUGUACCAACUGGAUGAGCAGCGAACGGGUGAGUAACGCGUGGGGAAUCUGCCUUUGAGCGGGGGACAACAUUUGGAAACGAAUGCUAAUACCGCAUAAAAACUUUAAACACAAGUUUUAAGUUUGAAAGAUGCAAUUGCAUCACUCAAAGAUGAUCCCGCGUUGUAUUAGCUAGUUGGUGAGGUAAAGGCUCACCAAGGCGAUGAUACAUAGCCGACCUGAGAGGGUGAUCGGCCACAUUGGGACUGAGACACGGCCCAAACUCCUACGGGAGGCAGCAGUAGGAAAUCUUCGGCAAUGGACGAAAGUCUGACCGAGCAACGCCGCGUGAGUGAAGAAGGUUUUCGGAUCGUAAAACUCUGUUGGUAGAGAAGAACGUUGGUGAGAGUGGAAAGCUCAUCAAGUGACGGUAACUACCCAGAAAGGGACGGCUAACUACGU
rnacentral:rRNA from 1 species